GAGGCACUCAGCUUGGCACUUUAGAGCUUAUUCCAGUCUUUGUUUAUUCCUCCUACACCAAAACAAGGUGCACAGGUAGUGCCUGAGGCUCAAAAACCACAGUGUUCAGUUAUUAGCUCAGAUCACACACCCUGGAAAGCAGAAAAAAAAUUAGCAUGUUUUUGGUGCUUUUUCCUCCCACUGCAUUAUGAAAUUAAUGCAACAUAUGACUACAGGAAGAUUGGCAGGCCUUUGGAUACCAAUCCCAGAACAAUGCUAAAGUUUUAUUCUUUCCAGAAUUCCACCCUGGAGUUUGCUGAGGAAAUGAUAAAUAUUUGUUUAAGGUAUGUAAUCUGUUAGUCUCCAAAGAAAUGAACAAGAGAGUAGUUAAGAACACAUAUUUAUAAAAUAGUGUACUACCAAGAGAGACCGAACUAUAAACUCAGAUUUUACUUACUGACUAAAUUCAGCUAAAUAAAAUGUAUUUGCAGAACUUGCAAAAGAAUACCUGUGCUGGCUUAGCCAGUUCAAGAAGGCUAGAGGAAGACAGAACAAAAAUGCUAUCAAAGACUGAGCUUUGAGGAUCUAGUAAGCAUACAAAAAAACCCCACCAUUUGCAUAGCGUGUGUUGUACCCUGGAAACACUGCUUAAGAAGAACUGCAGUCUGUAAUGGAUGAAUGGCCUUGAAAAAUUGCUUCUAUGAGGCACAAAAGCUAUAAGAAAGAAUUUUCUGCUUAGAAGGAAAUGGCAUGGUUCAGCUUGCUGCAGCAGUCACCAGGAAUCAGUACCUUUUUCUGGAGAUUAGCAUAAAUAACGCCUUGAUCUGCAAUCUUAACAGCCAUACAACUGUGGGAAAACAAGGUUUAGUAACAGCUUUCAGCCCUUGCAAAUGUUAUCAUUGAAAAUGGGAGUGCUGUAGAGUGUUUUGAGGUCUUCCAUGAUGAAAGGUUCUUCAUAAGUAAUACAUUUCCCCAGUAUCUAAGAGGAUAACAGAAACACAUCCUGCUAUUUGGUCUGUAUAGCAAUUGCAUAAAUAUGCAAAGGAUACAAUUGAGAAGUAUGCUCUCCUAGAGCGACAAUUAGCUAAUGCAUCAUACCAUACAAAAUUAUCUUCAUGCAGUUCCUUCUUCACAUGCUAAUGAAAUCAGUCCCCAUUAUUAGCUUUUGAUAUAUUAAAAGCCUACUGUUACAUGAACACAUAAUGAAUAUUAAAGUAUUCAGUGAGGAAGUGGUGCUCCAUGCUUAAAUUUCUUAUACAGUAUCUGUAUUCUGCUGGGUGCAUGGCUAUCAUGUUCAUCUUCUAUAAAUACCCAUUCCGACUUUAUUAGUUCUGGAGAUGCUCUGUGCACAUGCUGGGGAUGGGUGAAGACUUUGCACCUGGUUUUCAUCAUUUAUCAGUGGGUUUACUUUUGAAAAUUCAAGAGAAUAUUGCCAUGGCCCCAGUCAGGCCCUAGGAGUACCACACUAGAUAUACGAAAUUAUACUCUAAAAGGACACAUAGUGGUGGUGGCAUCAUUUUUGUACAUUCUCACUCAAAGUGAAUGACACUGUCAUUAUACAAUUCCUCACUACCUUACAUUAUAGCUGCCACUCAACAGAUCAACACCUGAUCCCUCUGCAGGCAAAACACACAUCAUAACUUCCCCCCC